rnacentral:lncRNA from 1 species
UGUCCCUCAGAGAUACGUGCCAACCCAUGGCUUUUCCAACUUCCUGAAGUUCAUCCAUAACAGCAAGAGAAUCACGGAUGUAUAUCCGUCCACCAGGUCUUAAUAACCGAUCCAUUUCAAGCAUGAUUGUGGAUAUUUUGCAUCUGAAACACGCGGAUGUAUAUCUGUCCACCAGGUCUUAAUAACCGAUCCAUUUCAAGCAUGAUUGUGGAUAUGUUGCAUCUGAAACACCAAAAUCAAACAGAGUCAUGGUAACAUGUUCUUCAUAUGCUACUUUAAAGAAAGCCCAACUUCACUACAAUGAGACCCCAUGAACUUGGAGUCGGACCACAAUGUUGUAUUGGAGCAAAUAUUAAAAAAGUUAAUAGUGC